GGGGCACAAAGCAACAAAACUCCAGAGGAAAAUCUUCCCCCAUGGGCCUUGUGGCUCUUUGGGCAAGUUCCAGAGCAAACAGUCAAGGCAGUGGCCGGAAAUGUUUUCCCAGCUGGCCCACAAUACAUCUCUGAUGGAUCCACAGCAGAGAGAAAGCAGAAACCUUCACUAAUGUCCUGGAAUGUCAAACAGGAAUCACAGCCAUGGACAGCUCUCAGGAACCACUUCUCAGGGGAUUUUCAUUUCUUGGAUGCCCAAGAUGUCUGAAUGUCUUCCUGGUGCCUCAGGCUCUGGCCUCAGCCAGUGCUGCCCAGAGGGAGAGGAAGAUGAAGGUGGCUGUGCUCAGCGUGGCCCUGCUCUUUUCCAUCCUGCUGUGCCCCCCGGCACAGGCCAAGGUGAGGCACCAGCCAAACGCUGUCCCCACACCCUGCCCUUUGUGGGGGGGGGGGGGGGGGGGG
rnacentral:lncRNA from 12 species